rnacentral:pre_miRNA from 1 species
CUUGUACUCCCUCCGUCUGAAAAUACUUUUCAUUGAAAUGGAUGUAUCUAGAUGUAUUUUAGUUCUAGACACAUCCAUUUUGAUGACAAGUAAUUUCGGACGGAGGGAGUACUUG